rnacentral:rRNA from 1 species
UAUUGCACAAUGGGCGAAAGCCUGAUGCAGCAACGCCGCGUGAGCGAUGAAGGCCUUCGGGUCGUAAAGCUCUGUCCUCAAGGAAGAUAAUGACGGUACUUGAGGAGGAAUCCACGGCUAACUAGGUGCCAGCAGCCGCGGUACUACGUCGGGGGCUAGCGUUAUCCGGAAUUACUGGGCGUAAAGGGUGCGUAGGUGGUUUCUUAAGUCAGGGGUGAAAGGCUACGGCUCGACCGUAGUAAGCCUUUGAAACUGGGGAACUUGAGUGCAGGAGAGGAGAGUGGAAUUCCUAGUGUAGCGGUGAAAUGCGUAGAUAUUAGGAGGAACACCAGUUGCGAAGGCGGCUCUCUGGACUGUAACUGACACUGAGGCACGAAAGCGUGGGGAGCAAA